UACGUAGGGGGCAAGCGUUGUCCGGAGUUACUGGGCGUAAAGCGCACGCAGGCGGUCGCGUAAGAGUGCGGGGACAGUGGGCGGCUUAACUGCCCAAGGGUCGCACAGACUGCGUGACUGGAGGGCCAGAGAGGGACCUGGAAUUCCGGGUGGAGCGGUGAAAUGCGUAGAGAUCCGGAGGAACACCAAUGGCGAAGGCAGGGUCCUGGCUGGCACCUGACGCUCGAUGUGCGAAAGCCAGGGGAGCGAACAGGG
rnacentral:rRNA from 1 species